rnacentral:tRNA from 1 species
UCCCUCAUAGCUUAAUUGGUAAAGAAUCUACCUGCAGUGCAGGAGGCCCUGGUUCAAUUCCUGGGUUGGGAA